rnacentral:rRNA from 1 species
CAGUAGCCGCGGGAAUACAGAGGGUGCAAGCGUUAAUCGGAUUUACUGGGCGUAAAGCGUGCGUAGGUGGCUGUUUAAGUCGGAUGUGAAAGCCCUGGGCUUAACCUGGGAACUGCAGUGGAUACUGGGCGACUAGAGUAAGGUAGAGGAUAGUGGAAUUUCCGGUGUAGCAGUGAAAUGCGUAGAGAUCGGAAGGAACAUCUGUGGCGAAGGCGACUAUCUGGGCCAUUACUGACACUGAGGCACGAAAGCGUGGGGAGCAAACAGGAUUAGAUACCCCUGUAGUCCCUGUCUCUUAUAC